AGCCAUGGGUGCUGUGGGGUGGGGAUGUGCACCCAUGGGUGCUGUAGGGUGGGGAUAGGGACCCUAUGGGGCAGCAAUGGGCACCCAUGGGUGCUGUGGGGCUGGGAUAGGCACCCAUGGGGGCUGUGGGGCUGGGAUAUGGACCCAAUUGGGUAGAAAAGGGCACCCAUGGGAGCUGUAGGGAGGGGAUAGGGACCCUAUGGGGCAGCAAUGAGCACCCAUGGGUGCCCCCCAUCCACGCUAUGGGGCAGCGAAACCCCAUUGAUCCCAACGAUCUCAGCGUCCGAUGCGGCCGAGCGAACUGCCAAAAGCAAGCAGCAAAUGGGGUCAAAAAAAACCCCCAAAAGGUUAAAAUGGGGGUUUGGGGGGAUUUGGGGACUCACCUGGCACGUCGUUGUUGCCCCAUAUCGGGUCUCGUUUGAUUGGGGUCAGCAUUUAUAGGGUCGUCUGUAGGGCCGCGACGGAGAAAAGGCCGUAAAGUUCCUCUCAAUGGGGAACCGCCGGGGCGGCCCGGCGUUAAGUUGAAUGGCCACGGUGGCUCCUCCUCCUCCCGCAAAACUGCGAAUUCGAUUGGUUGGCGGAGAGCGGAAGUGGGCGUGGUUACGCGCUAAGUUUCCCACGGUUCUCCCACGCGUUCAUUCAUUUCGUUCGUUUGUUCAUUCAUUCACUUACAGUCGCGGUCGGAAGAGGAAUAGGGUUUGAUUUCCUCUUCCGGGCGUCGCUGGGGGGGGC
rnacentral:lncRNA from 1 species